rfam:Oryza nivara chromosome 3, whole genome shotgun sequence.
UUUAAGUGCAAUCAUAAGUUUCAACGCCCAACUUUGAUCAUCCGUCUUAUUUGAAAAUUUUUUACAAUUAGUACAUUUGUUGUUAUGAGAUGAUAAAAUAUAAAUAGUACUUUACUCGUGACGUAUGUUUUUAAAUUUUUUUAAAAAAAUUGAAAUAAGACGAACGGUCAAAUUGGAUGCGGAAAACCAUAACUACACUUAAA